AGGCGACGAUGUCUAGGGGGUCUGAGAGGAUGAUCCCCCACACUGGUACUGAGACACGGACCAGACUCCGACGGGAGGCAGCAGUGAGGAAUAUUGCGCAAUGGAGGAAACUCUGACGCAGCCAUCCCGCGUGCAGGAUUGACGGCCCUAUGGGUUGUAAACUGCUUUUCUAUACCAAGAAACACCGAUACGUGUAUCGGUUUGCCGGUAGUAUAGGAAUAAGCAUCGGCUAACUCCGUGCCAGCAGCCGCGGUAAUACGGAGGAUGCAAGCGUUAUCCGGAAUCACUGGGUUUAAAGGGUGCGCAGGCGGAAUAGUAAGUCAGAGGUGAAAGCCCACAGCUCAACUGUGGAAUUGCCUUUGAUACUGUUAUUCUUGAGUGUAGUUGAAGUAGGCGGAAUAUAGCAUGUAGCGGUGAAAUGCAUAGAUAUGCUAUAGAACACCAAUUGCGAAGGCAGCUUGCUAAACUAUAACUGACGCUGAGGCACGAAAGCGUGGGGAGCGAACAGGAUUAGAUACCCUGGUAGUCCACGCCGUAAACUAUGAACACUCGCUGUUGGCAAUACACAGUCAGCGGCUGAGCGAAAGCGUUAAGUGUUCCACCUGGGAAGUACGAUCGCAAGGUUGAAACUCAAAGGAAUUGACGGGGGCCCGCACAAGCGGAGGAGCAUGUGGUUUAAUUCGAUGAUACGCGAGGAACCUUACCUGGGCUUAAAUGUAUAUUGACGUACUGAGAAAUCAGUAUUUCUUCGGACAAUUUACAAGGUGCUGCAUGGUUGUCGUCAGCUCGUGCCGUGAGGUGUCGGGUUAAGUCCCAUAACGAGCGCAACCCCUACUUCUAGUUACCAGCAUUUCGGAUGGGGACUCUAGAGGAACUGCCUACGCAAGUAGAGAGGAAGGUGGGGAUGACGUCAAAUCAGCACGGCCCUUAUGUCCAGGGCUACACACGUGCUACAAUGGCCGGUACAGAGGGCAGCUACAUAGCAAUAUGAUGCUAAUCUCAAAAGCCGGUCUCAGUCCGGAUUGGAGUCUGCAACUCGACUCCAUGAAGCUGGAUUCGCUAGUAAUCGCACAUCAGCAAUGGUGCGGUGAAUACGUUCCCGGGCAUUGUACACACCGCCCGUCAAGCCAUGGAAGUUGGGGGUACCUGAAGCCGAUUGCCGUAAGGCGUUGC
rnacentral:rRNA from 1 species